UUGAACGCUGGCGGCAGGCCUAACCCAUGCAAGUCGAACGGUAACAGGAAGAAGCUUGCUUCUUUGCUGACGAGUGGCGGACGGGUGAGUAAUGUCUGGGAAACUGCCUGAUGGAGGGGGAUAACUACUGGAAACGGUAGCUAAUACCGCAUAACGUCGCAAGACCAAAGAGGGGGACCUUCGGGCCUCUUGCCAUCGGAUGUGCCCAGAUGGGAUUAGCUAGUAGGUGGGGUAACGGCUCACCUAGGCGACGAUCCCUAGCUGGUCUGAGAGGAUGACCAGCCACACUGGAACUGAGACACGGUCCAGACUCCUACGGGAGGCAGCAGUGGGGAAUAUUGCACAAUGGGCGCAAGCCUGAUGCAGUCAUGCCGCGUGUAUGAAGAAGGCCUUCGGGUUGUAAAGUACUUUCAGCGGGGAGGAAGGGAGUAAAGUUAAUACCUUUGCUCAUUGACGUUACCCGCAGAAGAAGCACCGGCUAACUCCGUG
rnacentral:rRNA from 1 species